rnacentral:ncRNA from 1 species
AUUAAACCUAUGAAGAGGCUAGUAAUAGUAUUAUUUGUUUUAAGAGAGUCGAUGGUUGGUGUGAAUCGAUAGCAAAGUAUUAUGAAUCCACCUUGGAGGGACUGUGAUGAGCAGUACGGAUUUAACCGUUAUAUUUUUUAAGAGGAUAGUAUAAUAUUAUAUUAUCAAUUAGGGUGGCAACGCGGAGUCUUUCGUCCCUUUU